rnacentral:tRNA from 1 species
AUGCUUGUAGCUCAAUUGGUUAGAGCGUUAAGUUGCGAAUUUAAAGGUUAAAGGUUCAAGUCCUUUCAAGCAUG